UCUCUUGAUCAAAUCCUGAAGGCCCUGCUUGGCUUACCCUCGGUCUUUCCCCAAACAGAAUGUUCAUUGACUUCAGAGAGAGUCUUGUGAGAGCAAGUGCUAUGUAAACACUGAGUAAGGACACCAGGAUGUGAUCCAUUGGUGAAACUAAGCUACAGAGAGGAUAUGUGACUUGCUAAAGGCCCCACAAUAUGUAAGUGGCAAAGCCUGGAACAGAAUCUAAAACAGUUGGCUGCCUUAUCUGCUGGACAACAUUAUCUCCCCAUCCAAAAAAGUGCCAACUCUCAGUCCAAAAGGAUGGAACUUUUGUCACUGAGGCAUUUCUAGCGUGCUCAUCACUGAAAUGUGCACUAGAAGCUAUGGAGAAGAGACCAGAGGGGCCAGGAUUUCACUCUUGAAGUCAAUGGAGGUUUUGCCAUCCACUUUAAUGGAGUCAUGAUUUCACCCCCAACGUGAAAGCAAUUGCUGCCGCUUGAUAUGAUGAGACGAUCUGUGGGAAUGGUGGACACAAAUGCAUGAAGAAGCAUAGAGCAGUAGAACUAUGGAGGGCACAGGACAGAGAACGGAAGAGGUGAGAGGACACAGAGGAAGGAGAAGAAACCAACCAUGCAUACGGUGUGCUGUUGCACUGUCUUCUGCACAGGGACCGGAAGGCCAAUCUUCUGCUCUCUGUUGUUGACUUCAAAAUGGUGUCUCAUGAUUCUGAGCUUUAAAACCGGUGCUCUGCAUUUCUAAUGCCAAGGAGUCUUGACCUGAACUGACAGAACUGGAAAAGCAGCUAAGAAUUUCGGGCUAUUAUAGAAAUGUUUAUGGAAUAACAGCACACUAUCAAUUAAGAAGUACAGAAGAGGUGUUUGAAUGCUCAGGACUAGAUAUAGCAUCAUGUCCUCUCUGACCUAAUUCUGAACUGAUGGGUACAUUCACUACUAAGGGAAAGAGUCAGAACAACUACUCCUGGUACCAGAAUUGGACCAAUUUGAGAGUGACCAGGAAGAAUUUUCACAGUGAAUCCAGAAAUUUCCAAGUGAAUCCAAAGGGGCAGUACAAGAAUUCCAUGGACUGAAGCAGCAAGGAUGAAUGGCCUGGAACCACCACCAGCAUUAAGGAUUGGGAGCAGCAUGAAGGAGUGGUGGAAACCUUUCACAAACCGGUUUUUGUUGUAUGUGACUGCAGUGGAUGCGGACACAAUAAGCAGUGCUAGGAAAAUGGCCUUAUUAACUGUAGCUGCUGCAGAGGCCCUAGAUAUUUGUAAUAGUCUCCAUCUGUGGCUAGCAAACAGAAUUGAUUUAGAUAAGGCCCUUCCACUGUUAAAGCUUAUUGUGCACCAAGAAAGAAUGAAACCUUUGAACUAUCCCUCUUCCACAUAAAGGUACAAAAGGCACAAGAAAGCACUGAGGAAUAUGGUACUAAUUGGAAGGUUCAUAGCCAGUCUUGCAACAGUGGUCUCUUAAGACAGUGGUCUCCAAAGUGGGGUGCACGCAAGAGGAUCCUUCGGGGUGCGCGACAGGAGGAGUGCCGCCGGAGCAGUGCC